GUACAAAAUCAUUGACUUUACCAGCAUUUUUGAUUCUUAUUUUAAUGGAGACAGUUUGGAUUGGUUAACGUGUGCUUACUACAUAACUUAUAUAAAAUCAACAUUGUUACCUGUGCAAGUAAAAGCUGAUCGUCCUAGUUUACAUUUAUCAAAUCUUCUUGGAAAAAUAAAACUGUUAUUGUAAAAGUUUAUUAACUAAUAUCACAUUACAUGGUCGAAAUCUGGUGAUGGUAAGAAAAAAAAACUGUGUGGCUGGCGUUAAAAUCUUAUAUCGCACAUCCUGGCUAAGUCAAUCUUGUGAUUUAAAGAUUUCUACCAUUUUUAUCAAGCAACCAAAGGAUUAAAAACAAAUAUGUGCAAGCCAUUGGUGUCUUUUGAUUAUGCCAUCAAGUAUCUUUCGAAAGAUAUAGAUAAUGACAUCAUUAUUGAAAGCUUUGUUUCAGCAGUACUCGCGAACAUUGGCUAUAGCAUUAUUAAAAUAGUUAAGAUGCUUGAUCCAGGAAGCAACAAAGAACAUCCUAAAGCUAAAAGUAGUGAGUGAUGAGUGGCUUUAUAUCUUAAAAAAUGACAGCGUUUCGCCAAACUGCACCUUAAAUUGUGUAAAAAUCAUUAGGGAAUAGUUGGAUAUCCUUAAAAAUGACAGAACUGAAACAAAAAAAAGUAUUUGUCUAUUAAACAAAAAUGAUUGACAAAUGAGAUUUAUCAAACGAGAUUUAUCAAAAAAGAAGGUAAAGAGGAAGAUAUUAUAACAGUUGCAACAAAUUUAUUGAAAGCAGGGUUAGAAGGUUAGAAGGUGAAAGAGAAGGUAAAGCUUCAUCUUUACAUUCCUUUUUGCCUUCUAACCUCUAAAAAAGAAGGUGAAGAGAAAGGUAUUAUUACAGUUGCAACAAAUUUAUUGAAAUCUGGGUUAAAUAAUGACUUUGUUUCAAUCAUGACUCGAUUAUCAAGAACUUAAAAUGAAAGUUUAAAGAAAUCAAUUUGUUAUUAUAAUGUUCCAAGAAACAACAUUUUUUUAAAAAUAUAUUCUACCAUCCUCAUGACAAAUUCUAUAUGAUAAAAAGAUAUUAGUUUUAAAAAGUUUUCAAAUUAAAAAAAAUUUUGGGGGUCCCCUAAGACCCUUAAACACUUAAGUUUUUAGUAUUUUCUGAAAUA